rnacentral:piRNA from 1 species
UCUCAGUGGAAUUCACAGUUGUUGG